ACUUCAACUUUCUCCCACACACUCCGCAGUGAGUUGUGGUACUCCGGAUAGUGAGAACGGCCUUCAUCUCGUCGAGACCUUUCAGCCCAUGCCUCAGCUGACCCCGAGAAUGCUCAGAUGGCAGUACAAAGCCCUGAAACCUCUUUAAUUGCAUGUAUUAUUGUGAUCGUGGUUAGUGGUAUGGGCUUUUAUGCAAUUUGUCACGUUAGAGCUAUUGUGGGUAGUGUGUAUAUGUGUGGUAGGUGACCUCUGGACUAAUCGUCCAAGGUCCGAAGCCCUUUGCGGAGACUGAAAAUCGAUUUCGGUGCGCUUUUCAACGAAAUUCGCCGGCAGAACGCGCUUUUGGUUUGGACUCCAUCCGACGCUGUUGGAAUGCCUUAGGUUUUGCCAUUAAGCCUUGUUGGCUGGCUACCUACGUCGUAUCGAGGGUUUGGAGAUGACGGGUUAGCGAUGAAGGGUUCCGAUGUCGAAAUUGACACUUUCGGGAACCCGUAUCGGAGCGAUUAUCCGACGAUAAUCGUUUCAACGUGUGACCUCGAUAUUUGCUGCCAAGACAUCCAAAAUGAUGUGUUUUGAGGCAACGGGUGACUCAUGACACGAGUCGGUGAGUUUCAGAACACUUCGUGGGUUCCAGCGGCGUUCCGGUGCGAUUUUCUGGACUUCCGGCGAGUUACGGAGAUCAAUUUUUGAGAAACCGAUUCUGUGAAAAAUUUUAGGGAUUGUGAGUAUUGUGUUUUGAGUCGUUUGGGUCGGACUCUGACUUUGUGGACCCUUUGUAGGUCCAGUUGACUAUCCUACGCAUCGUAGGGGCAGACGCGACAGUGAUACAUGUGGGUACUUCAAUCCGAAGUCGAUAUAGUGGUGCAUGCUUGGUGAUGUUCCCUCCACCCUAUCUCUCUAUGUUCCUUGCUUUACUUUGAUUGUUAAGCCUAGCACCAUAUGACUUUAUUACAUGUUGCUCUACUCAGUUGCUUUUAUAUUCGGUUAUCAUGAUCUAGGAGUAUAGUGGUUAUUGAUAAUACCUGUGCGUGAUGUAACACCAGUUGUGACCUAGUUGGUCGGUUUUGAGAUUCUGGUUAUUUGAUGACCUAUUCGGUCGACAUACCUUGAGGGAUUUGAUUGUUAGCUACUUGCCGACGGCUAUUAAUCAUAUCUGCAUCGAUCUUCAUUUCUCGAAUGCAUUUCAUGUACACCAGUGGUUUAGCCACCGCAACGGUAUUAUUUUUUGAAAAAGUGGUUGGAAGUACCAACCCAUAAGCCCAGAAACUUAUGCUAGGGUUAUAUACCAUUUAGAACGGCAUGGCACUUACCUGAGAUCUUUAAACCGACACGGCAGAUCUGGAUUUAGUACUUUGGGACUAUUGUCCGGUUGAUACAUUUUACUUACAGUAGCGGUAGUUGUACAUAUAUCUUACUUCAUCUUUUACUUUGUUACUGUAUUACCCUUCAUAGCU
rnacentral:lncRNA from 1 species